GAUGACGACGAAGAUGAAGAUGAGUGGAAUGAAGAUGAUGGAGAAGUGAGGCCUGAUCAAAAGCGUAGAAAGAAAAAGAGAAAGGUCCCUUGGAGACUUGUGGUUGAGUGGGUAAUGUUUUUUAUGAUAUUAACUUGCUUGAUCUGCUCUCUUACGAUAGAAUCUGUCAAAAACAUGCGUAAAUGGGGUCUUGAAAUCUGGAAAUGGUGCUUAAUGGUUAUGGUAACCUUUUGUGGUCGUUUAGUGUCUGGUUGGGUGAUGGGUUUUGCAGUGUUCUUGAUCGAAAGAAACUUCAUGCUCAGAGAGAAGGUAUUGUACUUCGUUUAUGGACUAAGGAAGAGCAUUCAAAAUUGUGUUUGGUUAGGCCUUGUUCUUCUUGCAUGGACUUGCAUGUUCAAUGAAGAAAUUCACAAGAAAAACAAGAUCCUGAGAAAGGUCUUCCAAGCACUU
rnacentral:misc_RNA from 1 species